rnacentral:rRNA from 1 species
AUUGAACGCUGGCGGCAGGCCUAACACAUGCAAGUCGAACGAGUGGCGGACGGGUGAGUAAUGUCUGGGAAACUGCCCGAUGGAGGGGGAUAACUACUGGAAACGGUAGCUAAUACCGCAUACCAUCGGAUGUGCCCAGAUGGGAUUAGCUUGUAGGUGAGGUAACGGCUCACCUAGGCGACGAUCCCUAGCUGGUCGGAGAGGAUGACCAGCACAACUGGAACUGUGAGACGGUCCAGACUACGUCGGGCGGGAGAAGUGGGGAGUAUAGCACAAGUGGCGCAAGCCUGAUGCAGCCAUGCCGCGUGUAUGAAGAAGGCCUUCGGGUUGUAAAGUACUUGCAGCGGGGAGGCGUUACCCGCAGAAGAAGCACCGGCUAACUCCGUGCCAGCAGCCUCGGUAAUUC